rnacentral:rRNA from 1 species
CCUACGGGUGGCAGCAGUGGGGAAUAUUGCACAAUGGGGGAAACCCUGAUGCAGCGACGCCGCGUGAAGGAAGAAGUAUUUCGGUAUGUAAACUUCUAUCAGCAGGGAAGAAAAUGACGGUACCUGACUAAGAAGCCCCGGCUAACUACGUGCCAGCAGCCGCGGUAAUACGUAGGGGGCAAGCUUUAUCCGGAUUUACUGGGUGUAAAGGGAGCGUAGGCGGUUUAGCAAGUCAGAAGUGAAAGCCCGGGGGUCAACCCCGGGACUGCUUUUGAAACUGUUGAACUAGAGUGCAGGAGAGGUAAGUGGAAUUCCUAGUGUAGCGGUGAAAUGCGUAGAUAUUAGGAGGAACACCAGUGGCGAAGGCGGCUUACUGGACUGUAAAUGACGCUGAGGCUCGAAAGCGUGGGGAGCAAACAGGAUUAGAUACCCCAGUAGUC